CUUUUUAGGGCCACACUUGCAGCAUAGGGAGGUCCCCAGGCUAGGGGUCAAAUCGGCGUUGCAGCCGCCAACCUGCGCCCCGGCCACAGCAACGCGGGAUCCUUAACCCACCGAGCGAGGCCAGAGGUGGAACCUGCAUCCUCUUGGGUGCUCGUCGGGUUCGUUUCCUCUGAGCCGCAGCGGGAGUCCGCGGGACCUGCUCCGCUCGAUUCCUUCGGGCGUGUACUCGAUCCAGUCAUUGUCUAGCAACGUUUCCACUUCAUCAAAGUGCUCGAAUUUCGCAGCCUGCAACUUUUUCCCAAUUAUUUUGAAAUAAUUAUAGGUUCACAGGCAGUGGGAACAAACUGCACGGGGAGCCCCCUUGCACGCCCCCCCCCCCAGGAAGAAAGCGGACGGAAGAACCUGCUGUCUCAGCUCCAUGGGUUUCACAGACGCUCCUCAAAACAUAACUGACUAAUAAUAAAAUGGGGAAGACGGGGGACUCUGCCUGGCGGCGUGGAAAUCAGAGGGAGACUAGGAAAUGGCUUGAGAGAAAGGUCGUCGAUGGGGCAAAACAAAGGUCUUCACUCAGAGCUCUCGGGGUCGGGGCCCAGGGGACCCCCAACACUUAGGGGCCCCCAAGAAGUCUGGUCUGUUUUCCCCAGUUUGGAGGAAUGAAAGGAGCAGCGAGGGCGGAGGUGACAAUGAGGGGGCAGACCUGGAGGCCCCUGGGGACCGGGAUCAGGCAGCUCAAUCAAGGUCGAAGUCGACAAGAGAGUCUGCUGGAGACCCAGAGCCUUCUGGGAGCCGCCGCCGGCCCACACCACAGCCACGGCAGCCCUGGAUCCCUAGCGCACCGAGCGAGCGAGGCCAGGGAUCGAACAGCGUGGGCACAGUGCUCGGGUCGGGACAUGGGCCGGGAGGCCGCGGUGCAGAAGCCCCCAGGCCCUUGGAGCCAAAACCAACCGGCUGGUGGAGCCGGCAAUCGGAAAGGCGGUUUGGGGGAGUACGGGGCGUGAGGGGUGGCAGGGGUGCAGCCAGGCUUUACUUCAUGAUUUAGGACAUGGGGAUUACGGAUAUGAGGCCACAGCCGGGGGCGCUUCCCUCCCCAGUGAAACCACACCCUGUAGGUGAGGUCCCAGGGGCAGCACUGCGAGGAGCCGGGCUUGGUGGACUCAAGGUCAGGGUUGGGAGGACAGCGGGGCUGUCGGCACAGGCUCCUGAGAAGUGACGGCGCCUCUGGUGCCUGCUUGCGCCUGGGGGUCGGGCUCUGCCCCUGUGGGCCGUUUCCCCUGCCCGAGCUCGCGAAGGAGGCGGGCAAGCCCGCCCUUCGAGCCGGGUUCCCUGGCCCAGCUAAAUGGGAACCAGUAAGAGGGCCUGAGCCCCCCACCAGCAGGGGAAACAGAAGCAGAGGCGCCGGGCGGGCAGGUCUUGUGCGAUGGCCACACGCCGCCGAGACCGGGGCUGGAGCCCACGGGACCCUCCCAGCCACGACGCCCGAACUCUGGACAAGGGAACCUCCAUUCGGGGGGUUUAGCACCUUGUCGUCAGACCCCAUGGAGCCACCCCGGGGUCGGAGGACGGAGAAUGAUCACAGAAACUGAAGGGCCCAGAGCGUCCAGAGGACGAGGGAGGAACACUCUGGGGACAGAGCCAUGGCCUCCCGGGAGGCUUCCCGCAGCCCGGGGAGCGGCUGGAUUCAGCAGACGGUGCCCCACGAACAGCUCUCCACUGACCAUCAAGGAGCUGCGGGCGGCAGUUGCCUGCUGUCUGGAAGGCGCCAGACUGGAUGGAGGAGGAGGGCGCAGGCCUCCGUCUGGCGGGCUGCCGGCCGGCCGGCCACGGUGGGAGGGUUGAAUGCUGGGCACAGUCCUGCAUGUGGGUUUCUACUGACACGUGGGCAGCGGCAACGAGCAUGAGGGCAGCAUGAAGGCUACGGAUACCUGGCCCGUUAAAGGGACGCCCACGAGGGCCCCACGGAAAUCACUCUGGGGGCGUGGGGGUGCUCAGGCGGGAACAUCAGGGGAAGCCUCGGCAGGUUCAGAAGGCGCUGGAAUCUGGAAUCGGCAAGCAGGUGCCUGCUGUGCUCAGCUGAGGCACGCGCCUGGCAGGAGAGGGGCCGCCACCAACUACAGACCCAGGUGGCAAGUGACUGUGGGGCGGGCUCCCUGGGGUGCAGGGGGUGCCCGGAAGCUGGAGGGUCAGGCUGAGGCUGGGGGCCUGGGGGACAGGAAGACGCUCACCCUGGACGCAGAGGCUCAGAAGCGGUGAGCAGACGGGAAGAGACGUGUUGCGUCUGGGCGGCCGACCAUGGUUUCCUCAGCACGAGGCACUCGCUGGACCGCGCCUCACGCCCAGCCACGGGCAGAGCUGCCCUCCUGAGCGCAGGUCUGAGAGGCUGAGACGGGCCGCAGGGCGCCCACCCCGCACGAGUGGACAGGGGCAAGCUGGCAGCUGUAGCUCCGAUUCGGCCCCUAGCCUGGCAACUUCCACAUUUCCAUAUGCUGCAGGUGCGGCCCUAAAAAAGCAAGAAAAAAAAAAAAAAAAACCACCAAAAAAAUGCCAAAAAUGACCAGGUCUGCAGCUACAAGGGCCAGAAACAGAGAUGACCUCGGGCGAGAAACUGUCACUGUCUGUGAACCUGACGUCAGGGCCUGAAGAGGUGUGUGUGUGUGGGGGGGGGUGCUGCCCCCGCCCCCCUGUGCGAACCUGGGGCCGACAGCAGGAGCAGCGGCGUCCCCCAGGGGUCGGAGAGCCCACGAGCCCCGCACCUGCUUGGACGGAAGUGGGCUGAGGGCAGGCACUCUCUGGGUGCACACAGCGGCCUGCAAUCUAGACCGGCUCCAUGUGAACCUGUUACCCAUCUCGCGGGCGGGAGUCUGGGUGCACGCGGAGGAGGUGGGCAGCGGGUGAAGGGUCAGGGGAUGGGCCCGUGGGCUUGUGCUGGAAGGAAGGGAGUCAGUGCCCAAAAGAGGCUGGGGACAAGGGCGUCCCACAGCUCACAUACACCAGGGCCUGAGAGGCGGGCCGGGGCCUGGUGCACUCCUGUUUUGGAAUCUGACCACAUCGUGAGGCCCGCUCCUGUGUGGCCUCGCCCUGGGGACAUUCUCACACAGGGUGAUGGACUGGGCUGGCUCUGGCAACGUGCCAAUGUGGUUUGACUUUUUUUUUAAUGGCUGCGCCCGCGGCACAUGGAAGUUCCUGGCCAGGGAUUGAAUCCAAACUGCAGCUGCAGCAAUGCCAGAUCCUUUAACCCACUCCGGCCAGGGACUGAACCUGUGCCUCCACAGCGACCUGAGCCGCUGCAGUCAGAUUCUUAACCUACUGAGCCACAGUGGAAACUGCAGUAUCUCUUGACUUUUACAGUGGUUUUGCUAGUGGCUCUAGUCAGAGACCAGAGGGCACCCGUGAUAUAAGAAACAAAUUAGGAGUUCCCAUUGUGGCUCAGCAGUAACAAACCUGACUAGUAUCCAUGAGGUUGCAGGUUCGAUCCCUGGCCUCGCUCCGUGGGUUAAGGAUCCGGUCUUGCCGUGAGCUGUGGUGUAGGUCGCAGACACGGCUCGGAUCCUGCGUGGCUGUGGCUGUGAUGUAGGCUGGCAGCGGCAGCUCUGAUGCAACCCCUAGCCUGGGAACCUCCGUGUGCCACGGGUGCGGCCCUAAAAAAAGAAAAAAAAAUUAAAGAAACAAAUUAAUUUGUAGUCUUUGUUCUGGUCCCUGGCACAGGGUUCCUAAAACCCUGGGCAUCUUGGAAUAAUAAAUGUCCUUUGUCAGCUAAUGAGAUGACCUGUGCUGCAGACCCCUAGGUCACACCAGGAUGGGCACGGGUCUCCGAAAAGACCAGACACGAUUAGACACCUCUGGGGAAGGGAGAGGGGCUGGAGGAUGAGUUAGUCGCUGUGGCCAGUGGUUUAACCAGCCACGCCUCCAAAAGGGACCUUCUAGAGAAGCCCCAAACCAACGGGCUCUGGCUGGUGGGCAGCCGGGAGGGGGCCGCACCCAGGAGGGCACGGAAGCUCCACCCCCACCCCCCACCCCACCCCGACCCUGCAUCUCUCCCCCCCGCUCUUCCUGAGCGGCGUCUUUUCUAACAAGCAGGUGUACUAAGUAAAACACGCUCCUGAGCCCCGCAAGCCGGUCCCGGAAGUGAUCAAACCUGGGGAGGGGGGACGGGAACCCCGAUCCACAGCCGGUCCAUCAGCAGCACGGGUGGCCCUGGACAUGUGGCUGGCGUCGGAAGUGGGGGCCGUCCUGUGGGGCUGGGCCCUCGACCAGGGGCCCCGACACGAACCCCAGGCCCGUGGCAUCAGAACACACUGGCUGGUGUCCAGAGCCUCGGGAUUAGAGGCGGAUGUUGGAAAACCCGGCCGAGGCGCUGCUCUAAAUAACGCUGCCGCGGACACCUGCCUGCGGUUUUCUGAGUGGACGAAAACGUACCUUUCCUUUGGCGAGACGCCCGAGGGCCCCGCUGCGCUGUGUGGUCGCCGCGCGCCUCGUUUGGAGAACCGCCAGCGUCAUCACACACUCUCACCAUCACCUUGAUCCCCUGCUGAAGCUGUAGGUAGCGCCCUUGGCUUUGUCCUCUCGGGAUCCAGUUUGCCGGACUGUGUGACGCUCAAGCCGCCGCGCGGCGCCUUGUCUGCGGGGCCCGCGCCUGCCCGGUUCCCGCCGCUCGGCCCCUGCCCGGUGUUUUUAACGUCCCAUCACGGUUUCUUCCUUCGGGGUUGUGGGGGGUGAGUGUUUUCACCUGCAUUUCUCCUGACUUUCGCCGCCUGCGGGCGGGACGAAGGGACAAACGCUGAGGCAUCCUGGACCUUGGUGGACACGGUCUCGUGGCCAGGAGUGGAGGGACAGGCCCCACGUUCGCCAUCCUCCGGGCACCCCGGCAAGGCUGGCCUGGCUCUGCUUGGUCCUUGACCCUGUGACAAUGAGCAGGGCCAGCUGGGGACACUCUUGCCCCACAGCAGACUCCUGAGACAGGCCCUGGCGCCCCCGGCCACAUCCCUGCCACAUUCUCUGUCCCCCUGCUGCCCUUCCAACAAUCCCAGGCCUCCACGACUCCCUCGUGACUCACCGCCUCCCCAGAGGGUUCCGGCAAAUUCUCCAGGAGCUGCAGCCAGAUGGUAUGACGGCUCUGCCUGGCUUCCGUCCCCAGGAGCCUUCGUGUGGCAGCCCGGCCUCUUCCUUCCCACCUGGGUGUGCGCUGGUCGCUCAGGUUCUCGGUGCUGGACAAAAGCCCCCAGGGAGGCCCUGGGAGGUGACACGCAACGUACUGGCAGGUGCUACAGCUUCGCCUGGGCGUGCAGCGCUGGUCCCGUCACCUGCAUGUUGACACAGCCCCUCCUAUAGGUGAAAACGUCACAGUCCCACAGAUGAGGACGUGAAGGGGGAGGCCCGGCCGCGCCACCCCUGGCCCCCAGGGAUGGGAGGGGCCCCCCAAGUGCUGGUCUGAGUGCCUGGCGGGCGCUGACUCAGUCCUGCCCCUGGAGCGUCCCAGCCGUCACACGAGGACACAGGCCUAGCCCUCAGAGGGGACCCCUGGGCCCGUGAGCCCCCUCCCCACCCACCCUGCACGAGGGAAGGACAGUGGGAGGCAGAAGGCAGGACAUAAGCUGUGCACCAUCCAGGGCGCAGCACUGGGGUCCUGGCCAGCGGCAGGAAGGGGCAACCUUUCGAACGCCCCCCGGAGGUGCUCUGGUCCUGCUGUGCCCGCGACCUGCAGCCUGCCCUCCUGCUCGCGUGCGGCUGGCAGAGUCCUCGUGCCUCUUCAGACGGGUCAGGGUGACCCUGGAAGGCAAAGGCUUCCGCUCUCAGACCAGAGGGGGCUGCACGUCCGUGGGGAUGGGAGGGAGAGGGUGGGCACCGUGGUUGCUGCAGCCAGGCCCCGGGCCCGGGCAGAGGCCUCACCAGGCUGGGGGCAGAGGUCACGCAGCCGCCCCCCCCACACACAGGCCGCAGGUGUCCGGGGGGUGGCCCCCGACACACAGCAGGGCUCCAGACCCAUCUGUCCAGCGUGGCAGCGGUGUCUGCCUCUCCUCGGCUGGGAGCUGGCAGGUCCCACGGAAGGGAGACAAACCCUCUCUCCUCCCCGCACCCCUCUGGGCAGCCCUGGGGACAGCAAGGGCGGGGUCGUCGGGCAAGGUCUGAUGCGCGUGUGCGCACAUGUGUGGGCGUGCAUGCGUGCGCGUGCAGAUAGGUGUGAGCAUGGGUGUGCAUUGUGCGCACGGUUGUGUAGGCACAUAGGUGGGGGGGCAGCUGGGUGUGUGCGCACGUGUGUGUGUGUGUGCACAAGGGCGUGUGUGCGUGUGUGCGUGUGCGUGUGUGUGUUGGGCAAAACCAAGUGUCCAGCUGAGGGUGAGGGGCGCCGUGUCCCCGCGUCUGGGCGUCUAGGAUGGGGACCGUGACGAGGGGCAGCUGCCGGACUGAGGCUGGGGCAGCUGUGAGGCUGGGACAGAAGGAAGAUGGGACAAGACGGGACAAGGGGGUGCGUGGCUGUCCCUUCCCCACACCCCUCGGCCGACCCCAGAGCCACGAGGCCCGCGCCACCAGCGGCUCCCGCAGGCGAGGGAAGGCCCGGGGCCGGCGGCUCCCGCUCCUCCCGCAGCGACAGCAGCCGCCAGGGCUCUGGGCUCGAGGUGCAGGCCUUACCCCUCUCUGACCUCCACCUCCCUGGCCCCGGCGCAGAGGCUGUUCCCGGCCUCUGUCGCCGAACUCUUAACAUCCUAAUUCUGGAAGCUGCUGACGUCCAGCCUUGCAUGAUUCUGAAUUUCCAUAUCCGUGUCCAGACCCACUUUUGUUUCUCGCCUGCAAACGGGGUAUCUUUCCCAAUCUUACUCCUCCUUGUUCUGCUCUUCCCACAGCACAGCCACGGCCCCCAGCGCACACACGGGACACACCCCCACGGGACACACGCACACACCCCCACAGGACACACGCACACAGGUCACACCCACGGGACACACCCCCAUGGGACACACCCCCACACACCCACAGGACACACGCACACAGGUCACACCCACGGGACACACCCCCACGGGACACACACCCACACAGGUUCUGUUUUCCACUUUCUGCCGUGGCCGUCAGCUCGGUUCCCUCGCAGUCCACCUGCCACGUGGCCAUGGAUUUUCACCAAGCGCUGU
rnacentral:lncRNA from 1 species